rnacentral:rRNA from 1 species
AGAGCGAACGCUGGCGGCAGGCCUAAUACAUGCAAGUCGAACGCACCUUCGGGUGAGUGGCGGACGGGUGAGUAACACGUGGGAACGUGCCUUUUGGUUCGGAAUAAUCCGGGGAAACCUGGCCUAAUACCGGAUGUGCCCUUCGGGGGAAAGAUUUAUCGCCAUUAGAGCGGCCCGCGUCUGAUUAGCUAGUUGGUGAGGUAACGGCCCACCAAGGCGACGAUCAGUAGCUGGUCUGAGAGGAUGAUCAGCCACACUGGGACUGAGACACGGCCCAGACUCCUACGGGAGGCAGCAGUAGGGAAUCUUGCGCAAUGGGCGAAAGCCUGACGCAGCCAUGCCGCGUGAAUGAUGAAGGUCUUAGGAUUGUAAAAUUCUUUCAGCGGGGAAGAUAAUGACUGUACCCGCAGAAGAAGCUCCGACUAACUUCGCGCCAGCAGCCGC